GCUGUUUCCGUGUCUUAGCUGACGUCUCUAUGUACGUGGCGUUUAUUUUUGCCGCCAAUGCUCUCGCUUCAGCUUCUGUUACCGCGUGUUCGUUGCGGGCCUAGAAUUGACGAAAUACGCUGUGUAAUAUGUGACGUCAGUGAAAUUUAAGUCGUACUGAGAAUAAGGUAGUAUAAAUGGCGUCACUUAUGUCAGCCAUUAUCUGCGUAUAUAAUAUGGAGACAUUAAUAAAGAUAUAAACGU